AGCCAGACUCCUACGGGAGGCAGCAGUGGGGAAUAUUGGGCAAUGGGCGCAAGCCUGACCCAGCAACGCCGCGUGAAGGAAGAAGGCUUUCGGGUUGUAAACUUCUUUUCUGAGGGACGAAGGAAGUGACGGUACCUCAGGAAUAAGCCACGGCUAACUACGUGCCAGCAGCCGCGGUAAUACGUAGGUGGCAAGCGUUAUCCGGAUUUACUGGGUGUAAAGGGCGUGUAGGCGGGAGAGCAAGUCAGAUGUGAAAACUACAGGCUUAACCUGUAGCCUGCAUUUGAAACUGUUCUUCUUGAGUGAUGGAGAGGCAGGCGGAAUUCCUAGUGUAGCGGUGAAAUGCGUAGAUAUUAGGAGGAACACCAGUGGCGAAGGCGAUUCUCUGGACUGUAACUGACGCUGAGGCUCGAAAGCGUGGGGAGCAAACAGGAUUAGAUACCCCGGUACA
rnacentral:rRNA from 1 species